rnacentral:rRNA from 1 species
GUGACUGCGUACCUUUUGUAUAAUGGGUCAGCGACUUAUAUUCUGUAGCAAGGUUAACCGAAUAGGGGAGCCGAAGGGAAACCGAGUCUUAACUGGGCGUUAAGUUGCAGGGUAUAGACCCGAAACCCGGUGAUCUAGCCAUGGGCAGGUUGAAGGUUGGGUAACACUAACUGGAGGACCGAACCGACUAAUGUUGAAAAAUUAGCGGAUGACUUGUGGCUGGGGGUGAAAGGCCAAUCAAACCGGGAGAUAGCUGGUUCUCCCCGAAAGCUAUUUAGGUAGCGCCUCGUGAAUUCAUCUCCGGGGGUAGAGCACUGUUUCGGCAAGGGGGUCAUCCCGACUUACCAACCCGAUGCAAACUGCGAAUACCGGAGAAUGUUAUCACGGGAGACACACGGCGGGUGCUAACGUCCGUCGUGAAGAGGGAAACAACCCAGACCGCCAGCUAAGGUCCCAAAGUCAUGGUUAAGUGGGAAACGAUGUGGGAAGGCCCAGACAGCCAGGAUGUUGGCUUAGAAGCAGCCAUCAUUUAAAGAAAGCGUAAUAGCUCACUGGUCGAGUCGGCCUGCGCGGAAGAUGUAACGGGGCUAAACCAUGCACCGAAGCUGCGGCAGCGACACUAUGUGUUGUUGGGUAGGGGAGCGUUCUGUAAGCCUGUGAAGGUGUACUGUGAGGUAUGCUGGAGGUAUCAGAAGUGCGAAUGCUGACAUAAGUAACGAUAAAGCGGGUGAAAAGCCCGCUCGCCGGAAGACCAAGGGUUCCUGUCCAACGUUAAUCGGGGCAGGGUGAGUCGACCCCUAAGGCGAGGCCGAAAGGCGUAGUCGAUGGGAAACAGGUUAAUAUUCCUGUACUUGGUGUUACUGCGAAGGGGGGACGGAGAAGGCUAUGUUGGCCGGGCGACGGUUGUCCCGGUUUAAGCGUGUAGGCUG